rnacentral:tRNA from 1 species
GGAUGGGUUUUGGCUCAGUGGUAGAUCAUUUACUUGGUAUGUAGAAAGUCUCAAGUUCAAUUCUUAGUAUCUCGUUAA